AUGAAAUAGCAAUGCGUAGUGUAGAAGAUCACAUGACAACCAUAAUAAGUGAAUCAGUGCUUGCUUUAUCAAAAAGCAAUCAAAGCAUGACUAUCAUAAAUUUUGUUGAACUUUGUACUUUUUACUUUUGGAAAGCUACACGGUGUGGGUUUUGAAAAUAAACUCAGUUAAUGUCCAAUGUUACAAUAGUAUCUGAUCUUCAUAUUAAGAUUUUCUAAAUGGAUUUAAGUGCGAAAGAAAAUGAGAAAUGGUCAAAAAAAAGAAAACACACUUUUAUUGUAUUUUCAAUCCAAAUGGUUAUUAUUGGUAUUGAGUAUACACUUACUCUUUUAACGUUAUGGUUGUACAUUAAAGAAAUGAUACACACAAAAUCGCCGAAGUUGCUGUAUAGUAUUGCUUCUGUUUCAUUUAUGUUAGCAUCAACUAUUGCGAUGCCAUUCAUAGGAAGAAUAGUCGACGAGUAUCGAAAUGUAAAAAGUUGCUUUUUAUUAUGCAACUUUCUGAUGCUUACGGGAAAUGUACUUUACAGUGUUCCUUUAUCUCCAUUCUUAUUAAUUGGAGGAAGAAUUAUAGCUGGCUUUGGCGGUUCGUUGAAAUCUGUAAUAUUUAGCGAAACAAUAAGGUGUUACCCUCCAUCUGAAACAUCUUCAAAACUAUCAAUUUUGUCAGUAAUGCAAAAUUUGGGAUUCAUGCUAGGUCCAGGAAUAAAUUUUUUUUUUUAAAAAAUGUAAAUUUUUUUAUAGGAAAUUGGCAUUUAAGGGAUUUUAAUUUUCCUGGCCUUUUUAUGGGAAUUGCAUGUUUUGCUAUGGAGAUUUUAACAUUAACAAUGGUACACAACGUAUCAAAAGAGUUUGAUUACAAAGCUUUAUUAGAAAAUUAUGACAUAGCUAUGGAAAAUGCUACUAUUAAUACGAACAUUGAAAGCGUUGAAAACAUACCGUUAAUGCAGCAUAACACUGAUAGCAACAACACAAGCCAAAGCAAUAAACAUGUACCAUUGACCUCAAAGAAACACACAAUAAUAGAAAUUUUAAAAGUGUUAUUUUUUCAUUUCGAUUCUGCGCUUAUUUUAUUCGCAAACUUUUUCGUAGCUUUUUAUCUUACUACAGCAGACAUAUGGAUGCCGUUAUUAGUUAUUGAAAAAAUGCAUCUGUCAAUGCUAGAAAUGAACAUUAGUUUUUUUGGAGCCUGCGGAAUAUGCGCUCUUCUGUUGUUUUUGUUUAUUUGGAAACCUGUGUCUGACAAAAACAUGUUUUUUUUAUUGUUUCUCAGUUUAACUGGUUUCUGUAUCAUAAGCGCAGGAUUUAUGAUUCUUUCAUAUUUUCCGUUCAACAAAGCGUUAAACCUCGACUUAUGCAUCGUUUACAUGAUAUGCUUUGGAGGUGCUCCAAUAAUUAACGAUGUUUUUUUUUGUCAAAGCGUUAUCCAAAUUGGUAAAGUCGCACGUUUUAACUUUUGUUGAUAGUAUUCGAUACUCUAUGUUUUCAGCAGGGGCCUUUCUAGGCUUUAUUUUUGCUCCAUUCAUGUUUGACUACGUCACAACAUUUGGAACACUUUUUAUAUUUGUUAUGAUUAUAUUUGGGAUCACGUUUUUUGUCAGAAAAGAAAGUUUAAAUAAUCCAAAGGUUCUGUUGUAAAUCCUUAUUUAAAACACUUAAAGCAUGAGCAACAUUUGCUAUUCACAAAUCGCAACGAAUAUACUUAAAAGAAUAUUGUAUUCAAAACUCUAAGUUUUUACAAACCAGUAAUUUUAAAAAAUUUUCAAAGUUGUGCAAGUAAAUAAAUAUUGUUAUUGCUUAA